rnacentral:rRNA from 1 species
GUAGGGAAUAUUGCGCAAUGGACGAAAGUCUGACGCAGCGACGCCGCGUGAGUGAUGAAGGCCUUAGGGUCGUAAAGCUCUGUUGAAUGGGAAGAAAAAAAUGACGGUACCAUUCGAGGAAGGACCGGCUAACUUCGUGCCAGCAGCCGCGGUAAUACGAGGGGUCCUAGCGUUGUUCGGAAUCAUUGGGCGUCAAGGGUGUGUAGGUGGCCAUGUAAGUCAGGUGUGAAAGCCCCGGGCUCAACCCGGGAAGUGCACUUGAUACUGCGUGGCUUGAGUACUGAAGAGGGUAGUGGAAUUCCAGGUGUAGUGGUGAAAUACGUAGAUAUCUGGAGGAACACCGGUGGCGAAGGCGGCUACCUGGUCGAGUACUGACACUGAGACACGAAAGCAUGGGGAUCAAACAGGAUUAGAUACCCCGGUAGUCC